GAUGAACGCUGGCGGCGUGCCUAAUACAUGCAAGUCGAGCGAACGGACGAGAAGCUUGCUUCUCUGAUGUUAGCGGCGGACGGGUGAGUAACACGUGGAUAACCUACCUAUAAGACUGGGAUAACUUCGGGAAACCGGAGCUAAUACCGGAUAAUAUUUUGAACCGCAUGGUUCAAAAGUGAAAGACGGUCUUGCUGUCACUUAUAGAUGGAUCCGCGCUGCAUUAGCUAGUUGGUAAGGUAACGGCUUACCAAGGCAACGAUGCAUAGCCGACCUGAGAGGGUGAUCGGCCACACUGGAACUGAGACACGGUCCAGACUCCUACGGGAGGCAGCAGUAGGGAAUCUUCCGCAAUGGGCGAAAGCCUGACGGAGCAACGCCGCGUGAGGGAUGAGGGUCUUCGGAUCGUAAAACUCUGUUAUUAGGGAAGAACAUAUGUGUAAGUAACUGUGCACAUCUUGACGGUACCUAAUCAGAAAGCCACGGCUAACUACGUG
rnacentral:rRNA from 1 species